rnacentral:lncRNA from 1 species
GAAACUGUCUGUGCUAGCCAGGGCAGGGGGUCUCCCUGUAUGCUGCUGGUCACUGGCUCAGGCCACCCUUCCCAAGAGCAAUCAUUACUCAUAAAGCAGUAGCCAACCCCAGGGUCCAACUCAGGCCUAAUCUUUCUAUUGCUCUUUCUACACCUUGGGUUGGCCAGCUCAUGUGACCCUGACACUUGAGAAGGGAGGCCCAGGACAUCUGGGGCCACACUGGGUGAGGGAGGAAUCUCACUGCCUGUCCUGGGCCUCAGUUCUCAGAAGCAGCCCUCAUGUCCCAUGCCACUUUGGAGGUAUGGAGUUCAAGGGUCUAUCCCACAGCAACAGCCCCUCCCACUGCAUUGCUCCUGGCACUAGGGACCCCACUGGCCGCCUGCCCACCCUGCUUGCUACCCGCCUGUCCUUGCUCUGCCAUUCCAUCUGACUUCAUCUCGUUGGGUUUUUCUUUCUCUUGUCAAGGCUCCUUCGUUCAUUUGUUUGUUCUUUCUCUCCUUCUCUCCCUCUCUCCCCUUGCCCCCCCCCCCUUUUUUUCUUUUCUCUCUUUUUGUCUUCUGUUCUGUGUACCCAGGCACCCCAUUGAGUAACUUCUUUGACGUAAUUAAACAACUUUUUUCAGACGAGAAGAACGGGCAGGCGGCCCAGGCCCCCAGCACACCCGCCAAGCGGAGUGCCCACGGCCCCCUGGGUGACUCCGCGGCCGCUGGCCCUGGAGGGGACACCGAGUACCCGAUGGGCAAGGACAUGGCCAAGAUGGGGCCGCCCGCCGCCCGCCGUGAGCAGCCUUAGACACUAGUCCCUCCCCAGCACAGCACAGCACAGCACAACACAGCACUGACUGUGGCCUUCUGCCGCCCUGUGUGGACAAGGCCCCACCUGCCUGCCCAGACCUUGUCUCAAGCCUGGGAGGAAAGUAGAGUGGCCAGGGCGCGGCCCGCAGGCUGGGCUGCUGGGCUUGCUCUCUUUUCUCUCUUGCGGUCUCUGUCUCUGCCUGUCUCUGACAGCAUCGCUUGUUUCCGCUCUGAUACCAGGAAUUAUCCCGAAAAGUUAACAUGUCACCUCCACGAGGCCAUCCUCUGUGCUGCGUGUGGACACUGGCUGACCGAAGGCAGCUGCUGCGGACCACCCUCCUCCUGCUGCUGCUGCUGGGCAGAGAGGCUAGCCCACUAUCCACCACCUCUGCCUGUCCCCUGGCAGCUCCGCAUGGCCCAAGGGAGGAGGGCCUGCCGCCCAGGGGUUCCUCUUCUCGCCCAGCCACCCUGGAUCCCAGUGACCAGAUCCUCAGCAGGGACAACCUGUCCACCAUCUUCCAGGGGCCACCUCUUCUCAUCUGCAUCCAUUGCUCCACCUUGCCAGGCUGCAGAGCUCCAGCUGUGAUGGUUCUCAUGGGCUGAAGUGGAGAUAAAAGACCUGGGUGCUCCAGAGCUGCCAGGGAGCUGGGCUGAGACCAGUAUUAUUUAUUUGCUGUUUUAAUUUAUUGAGUUUCUUUAUGUCUCUGUUCUCUGUUCAGGGAAGGAGGAGUAGCAGCAGCAGCACCCUCCUGCCGUCUGUCUGUCUGUUUGUUCUGUCUGUCUGACUUGGGCAGGGUGGGUCCAGAGCCCAGGUUCCCUCUGAGGACAGAGCCGCUGUGGGGCUGGGGACAGUGGAGAGCCAGCCAGUGGAUGCAGCACUGGCAAGCUACUGUAAACUUUAAAAGAAUUCCUGCAAGAUAUUUUUAUAAACUUUCUUUUCUUGGUUGUUUUUGGAAAAGGGUGUGGGGUGGGGCCGCUGGGGCAGAGCUAGAGUUUGUGUUUCGGCUCCUUGCUCUUGGCUAUUUCUAUACACAUAUACAUAUAUAUAUAUAUAUAUAUUUAAAGAACGAUGUGGUUAGCUCUGUCCCGGGUUGUUUUAUUACUACUUAGCAGCAGCUCCAGUUCCACACGAGAGCUCAGGAUCCAGGGCGUCAGCCUGCACUGGUCAGCUGUGCCUGCUGCCCAGAAGCACUGCCCAGUACUUCUCUGCUGCAUCAGGCUGAGGCUGAUCUUGGUUUGGUGUCUGAUUGAGAAGGGGUAGAAGGCCCUGAGCUGGCACCCUACUCACACACAGGAUGGCAGCAGUACCUCGGUUUGUUUGGUUUUUUUUUUUUUAAAUUAAAAUUAAAAAGUUUAAAAAAAAAAUCAAAGCCAGAAAUGGAGUUAGCAGAGUGCUCUGCAGUGGGUUCCUCUUGGAGGUGGCGAGGGCAAGGGGCCCACACCACUGCCUGCUGCCCACCAAAGCCCACAUCACUUCCCUCAUCUUCAGCUUUUGUCUGUGUUCCGUUCUGUCUGGCUGAGCCAGUCCCUCCCAGCUGGCCCAAGGUGCCUGGCAUAGCAGCAGGAGGGGCUGGGGGCAGGUUUCAUGCAUGCCUUUGCUCUUCCCCUCAUGUACAGAUUUUAAUGCUUCUAUUACAUUCAACCACCACAGGCUGGGAUUUCUAUACAUAGAACAAAAUCAAACACCUGUAACAACAGCAAAGCCACGCAGUACAAGUGGGAAGGGGCAUAUCUACGGUGUCAGGAUACUGAAAGCAAUACCUCUCGUUAGCCUUCCUCUUUUGUACUUUGGACACAUGCGGAUUCGCAGACAUCACAAAAAUGGACAAGCCCCAUCUGGUGUAACCCCUGUCAAAUAACUGUGAGCAACUUCAGUUCUGGAACAAUAAAUUCCUUCCAU